CUCACUUAGGGUGCUAAGCCCUUGCCGCGGUCCCCGCUCGACUCGCCUCUGUGUGUACCUGUACCCCAAAACCACACGGGGUGAGAACUAUAUAAAUAUAGUUCCCAGUGGGUUCGGCCGCCAACGCUGCUGGUUUUCCCACUAGGUCUAAGCUGGCACAGAUAGAGAGAUAGAUAGAUAUACGUAGAAAAUGAACUGCAACUACUCUAUCAUGCCAUCAAUGAUAAUAAUGGAUGCAACAACUACUAUCAUGCUAGUAUCAUGUCAUGAGUAUAUAAAGGUGCAUAGUAAUGUAAACUACAACAUACACUAUGUCUACUCAAGGCAAUAAUGCAAGUCUACUAUACAUUUCAUGUUUAUUACCCAAUUUACUUGGUUAACCCGUAGGUUAAACCCUCGACUCACUCUCAAUCUCAUAGGUGAGGAGAAACUGCACUCGCACACCGAGACCGUCUGCGGGACAACUACGUCUGCCCCUAGUGAAGUACUCCGGAGACUCGUGCCUCGGUGGAGCGACCACCGACAAGCAAAAACAGACUAGUUAGUAUGAUCCAAUCCUCACAAAAGGAUACCCUGUCUACUAGGGUCAAUGUGCCUCUGCUGCACAAUCAUGAUAUAUAAUCCAUGUCGGGACUUCUACUAUCCCUAAGUUCAUGUCAAGUUUACUACACUAGACUCGAUGCCACUCAUUCGAUCAUUGUAGUAAGUUUUCUACUAGUUGACAUGCCACUCGUUCAAAUUUAGUGUUUCUACUACACUAGUUCAAUGCCACUCUACUAGACUAUGUCCAAGUUCGGCUCUCUAUGCCGCUAUAGGAUUCUAUGUCACAAGACCCAAUCCUCAUGCUAUCCUAGUCCACGUAUCAAGCUCACCCCGCUACACUACUAAGUAAGCAUGCAAGGAAAUGGAAAUGUACAAUUACUAUAUCCUAUAGCACAAUAUGAUCAAUAUAAAUACUUAGACAUAAAAAGAAACCCGGAUGUUUCGAGACGACACCCUCCACCUCUUGGUGAUGUCUUGAAGCUACGAUUCCGUUUCCAAGAUUUUUGGAAGCUUUCGCCGCGUGCUGUGGCAAUCUGUACCCUAGCGGCUUAGAUCUUCGAUAUCUCCGCGUACACUCGUCGGAUUGCCGAACCGAGCGCACCGUUGUGUCGAAAUACCUACCAAUUAGGUUAGAUGAUGGUCAAAUGAGAUCAAUCCUUUACUUUUCCAAAAACCCUCUUUUGGUGCCCUAGGGUUAGCAUCAAGCUAAACCCAUCUCAAAACCCUAGAUUCUAGCUCCAAUCCUACCAUUCAUUGUGCUAGGAAUCCAUUUGAUCCCAUCCAAAGAGCUAAAACCCAAAAACCCUAAAUUCAUAAGCUAGGGUUGGAAGCUUACAUCUAGGUUAGCUUAAAAGAGAGAGAAGAGGAUGAGGGCGAAGUCCAAAAGCUUGCUUUUGUUGGUCUCCUUCUUCUUCUCCUUCCCUUUCUUCCUUCUUUUCCUUCUCUUUUCCUUUUCUUCUUCUUCUUCUUCUUUCCCUUCUAUAGAGAGAGAGAGAGCAAGAGAGUGUGAGGGGGAGAGAGAGUAGAAUGAGAGAGUGAGAGGGAGAGAGGGGCUAAUAAGCCCUCUAAUGUAACAAUAUCCCAGCAGCCCCCUCCACUUUUCAUCCUAUGCACUGCCCCUCACUGGGCAUUCUGCGCCCAGAGGGACCGGUCUCCCCGACUUGGGACCGGUCCCCGAGAGCUUCAGCUCGGGUCACGCGUUCGGGUACCGGUCUCUCCCAGAGAGACCGAUCCUCGGGAGACCGGUUCCUUCCUGAGAGACCGGUUCCCGAGAACUGGGAUUUCAGGACUUAGCCAUAUUUUGGCUUUUCUCGCUGGUCUCGCGUUCGGGGACCGGUCCCUCACUGCCAGGGACCGGUUGCCUCAAGCAACCCCGCAACUCCCACUGAUGGGACCGGUCCCUCCCUGCCAAGGACCGGUCCCCGAGAGCAGUUUUGCUCUAGUGCAGGUUUUGCACUAUUUGCUCUCGUGGACUCGUUUCCAAUGCACUUUUGGUGAUUAUGAUAUCUUUGGCUUUUCCAAAGCUCACCAAUACGACCCUUGGUCGAUUCUGGAUGAAGUCUAAUCCUCGUAUUUCGAGAAUUCACUUCCUCACAUCCUCCCCUCCUAAAAAGGAGUUUCGUCCUCGAAACGAAUUUACUAUUUUAAUCAACUCCUACCUCAUUGCAUUUCUGUAAAGAGAUGAGGAUAGUGCGCUUUCAUCGUUUCCUCGAGUUCCCACGUGGCCUCACGAUCGUCGUGACCGGUCCAACGAAUCUUCACAUAGGAAAUUUCAUGAUUUCUCAAUUUCCGCACUUCUCGAGCAAUGAUCAUCGCCGGGAACUCUUCAUAGCUUAAAUCCUCUUGUAGAUCCGGCGGUUCAUAGUACAUCACGUGCUCGGGAUCGUGGAUAUACUUGCGAAGGUUAGAAACGUUGAAUACAUCAUGCACACCCGCGAGCUUCGGCGGUAAUGCAAGUCGGUAUGCUACCGCUCCAACACGUUCCAACGCCUCGAAAGGUCCGAUAUAUCGGGGACUUAGCUUUCCCCGCACUCCGAAGCGCUUCACACCUCUCAUAGGUGAAACCUUCAAGAAAACGCGGUCACCCACCGCGAAUUCCAAAUCUCUACGGCGUUUGUCAGAAUAGCUCUUUUGCCUCGACUGUGCCGUAAGUAGUCUCUCGCGAGCGAGAUAGACCUUCUCUUCUGCCUCCCGCAAUACGUCUGGGCCCAAUGCCGCAUGCUCACCCACAUCGCUCCAACAUAUAGGAGAUCCGCACUUCCGUCCAUAUAGGACCUCGAACGGUGCCAUCCCAAUGCUAGCUUGAUAACUGUUAUUGUAGGCGAACUUGGCAAUCCUCAAAUGGUUUGCCCAACUACUCUUGUAGUCAAUGACACACGCCCGCAACAUAUCCUCCAGAAUCUGUAUAGUCCUUUCUGACUGUCCGUCUGUCUGAGGAUGAAACGCGGUGCUGAAAUCGAGCCGUGUGCCAAGUGCUUCCUGCAGGCUUUUCCAAAAGUGCGAAGUAAAACGGGGGUCUCGAUCUGACACGAUCGACUUCGGAAUCCCGUGCAACCUCACAACUUCAUCCAAGUAUACCUGCGCCAACUUGUCGCCCGACCAGGUGGUGUGAAUCGGUAGAAAGUGUGCCGACUUGGUCAUACGAUCCACAAUCACCCAGAUCGCGUCGUGGCCACCCGUCAAACGGGGCAAUCCGACCACGAAGUCCAUCGCUAUAUUCUCCCAUUUCCAAACGGGAAUAGGUAAACUUUGGAGCUUUCCCGCUGAAAAUCGGCGCUCAGCCUUCACUUGCUGGCAUAUUAAACAUUGCGCUACAUAGCGCCCAAUAUCCGCUUUCAUGCCCGGCCACCAGUACUGCAUCUUCAGAUCACGGUACAUCUUGGUGCCGCCCGGGUGAAUGCUAUAAGGAGUCCGAUGUGCUUCUUGUAAGAUCAACUUCCGGGCCUCCUCGUUUUUCGGUACGCACCAUCGGUUCCGAAAUCGAAGCGCACCCUCGGCGUCUAUAUUGAAAUCACCGCCGUGUCCACUUUCGAUGUCUCGCCGCACUUUUUGGAGGUUAGGGUCUGCAGGUUGCAAACUCUUGAUCUGCUCCAACAAGGUCGGUUGGACAACGAGAGCCGUAAGCAUAGACGGAAUUUCCGGAGCUACCACCUCUAGAUCCAAUCAUUCCAUCUCUCUCCAUAGUGGUUCUUGACGUGUGACUAACAUAGCAAGAUUCUCCACUGACUUCCUGCUAAGCGCUUCGGCCACCACGUUUGCUUUUCCGGGGUGGUAUAGGAUUGUAACAUCGAAAUCCUUUAGCAACUCAAACCACCGCCGCUGCCGCAUAUUAAGCUCUUUCUGUGUGAAAAGGUACUUCAGACUUUUGUGGUCCGUGUAUAUCUCGCAACGCGCGCCAUACAGGUAGUGCCUCCAUAGCUUGAGGGCAAACACUACGGCGGCCAACUCUAAGUCAUGGACAGGGUAGUUCUUCUCAUAGCUUUUCAAUUGACGGGACGCAUAAGCGAUCACCUUCCCGCCUUGCAUCAGAACACACCCUAAGCCCGAUUGUGACGCGUUGCUAUACACCACAAAGUCUUCAUCUUGCACCGGUAAGGCGAGCACCGGAGUCGAAGUUAAUCUAUCCUUCAACUCUUGAAAACUCCGGUUGCACUCGUCAUUCCAAAUGAACUUGGUGCCUUUUCGAGUCAGAUGGGUAAGUGGACCCACGAUCUUCGAGAAUCCCUCCACGAACCGUCUAUAAUAACCCGCUAAACCUACAAAGCUUCGAACUUCCGUGACGUUAGUCGGGCGAGGCCAAUCCUUGAUCGCCUCCACUUUCCUCGGGUCAACAGAUACUCCUCCCUCGGAAAUGACAUGCCCAAGAAAUGCAACCUCUCGGAGCCAAAAGUUGCAUUUCUUAAACUUAGCAUAUAGCUUCUCCUCCCGGAGGACUUAAAGCACUAUUCUCAAAUGCUCGGCAUGUUCCUCGUCGCUACGCGAGUAGACUAAGAUGUCGUCUAUGAAGACCACGACAAAUCGGUCCAAGUACUCCUUGAAGACACGGUUCAUUAGAUCCAUGAACGCUGCCGGGACGUUAGUGAGCCCAAACGGCAUGACCGUGAAUUCAUAGUGUCCGUACCGCGUGCGAAAUGCGGUCUUUUGCACAUCUUCCGGUUUGAUCUUAAGUUGGUGAUAACCGGACUGCAGAUCGAUCUUUGAAUAAACCCGAGACCCUUGCAACUGAUCAAACAGAUCGUCAAUUCUCGGCAACGGGUACUUAUUCUUGAUCGUGACCUUUUUCAACUCGCGAUAGUCGACGUAGAGUUGAAACGAUCCAUCCUUCUUUCGCACAAAUAGAACCGGGGCUCCCCACGGCGAUACACUUGGCCGUAUAAAUCCUUUAUCAAGGAGAUCCAAUAAUUGAGCCCGCAAUUCCUUCAAUUCCGCCGGCGCCAUCCGAUACGGAGCCUUCGACACAGGCGCGGUUCCUGGAACCAAGUCUAUCACGAACUCGAUCUUCCGGUCUGGCGGCAUUCCCGGCAACUCCGCGGAAAAUACAUCAGAAAAUUCCUGAACCACGGAUAGUUCCUCAAGUGCCGCAGUCGCCCUCUCGACUUCCACAACAGUCGCCAAGUAGGCCGUACAACCGCCGUUAAUCAACUUCCUCGCCCUCGUCGCCGAUACCAUAGCGGCGAAGUGCGAGCUUCUAUAGGCCCGGUAGACAAAUUCCUCUUGUCCCGGUUCACGAAACGUAAUCACUUUACUUCUACAGUGAAUAGUUGCAUAGUACUUCGAAAGCCAAUCCAUUCCUAGAAUGACGUCGAAGUCUUUCAACUUCUUGAAUACCAACAUACGGAUGGGCAUUAUCCAAUCGCCCAACCGCACGGGACAAGACGAACACUCCAUACGUACUAGAAAAUCACGUCCGGGGCCCGAUACUCUCCAAGUGCUUUUACUCUCUUGUAGUUCUAUGUCAUGCAUGCGUGCAAAUGACCUACUGAUGAAUGAAUGCAUAGCACCUGUAUCAAACAUAGCCCUAGAGCGAACUCCGUUAAUUAAAACCAUACCUGCGAGUACAUGGCGAUCCUCCGCCUCAGCAGGUUCCUCGGCUUGAGUUUGAGCGGCAAACACCCGCCCACUCAGAGCCGAUCUCGUCGCCUCAGGUUGGCGUGGCACCAUCGCACGUCCGGCCGAUGACGCAGCAGGUGGGACUCCUCCAUAAUGCGCUGGGGUCGCCGGAGCCGACGCGACCAAAGGGGCAGGCGAAGCCCUCAUUCGACAGUGGCGGCUGAUAUGGCCCGCCUGUCCACACGUGAAGCACUUUCCCUCCCGUUGAUCACACAUCCUCGGCUCGUGGUUCCCACCGCAGAUUAUGCACCGCUGCGGUCCGCGGCCCUUGGAUUGCGUUCGCGGGUACUUCGGGGGCUUCCUUGGCCUCGAUUGAGCUCCCGAGCUACUCUGAGCCCGCUUCUUGCCACCGUCCUUCUCGGACGCUUCUCGCUCCUCCCGGAUGUGAGCGUUUCCUUGCUCCGACCACAACGCUCGAUCGAGCACCUCCGCGAAGGUAGUGAGCUUCAGAAUGUGCAACGCCCGGUAGAUAUCGGCCCGGAGCCCUCGCUCGAACCAAUCGGCUCGAUCCCUGUCAUCCCGCACUACGUCGGGGACGCAGUCAAUGAUGUGAGAGAACUCCUGCUCAUAUUCCGCCACCGUGCGGCCACCUUGCUUCAACUUUCGAAAUUGCUCUUGCUUCUUCUUCUCGCUAUCGGGGAAGUAGUUGACAUAGAACAAUCCCCGAAAUUCCUCCCACGUCAUCGGCGGAAGGUCGGAAGCCCGGUUCCUCUUGAUUCGCUUCCACCAAACCUUCGCCGUUUGCUCCAAACAAUGAGUGGCGAGGUAGACCUUGUCCCUCUCUGAGGUGUAGAGGUCCUCGAACAAGGUCUCCGUCGAGUCCACCCAUGACUCGACCAUCCAUGGCUCGACCUUCUCUCCCUCGAAGGUCGGUGGAUUAAACCUUCGAAACUUCUCGAGAGCCGCAAGUGCGCGGUCCCUCUCCGCCUCCAAUGCCGUCGUAUCGGGUGCCGUAGAACCCGACGCCGCCAGAGGAACGCUCGCCGGCGGGGGACGUGCCGCCACCGGAACUGCCGCAAUGCCCUCGCCCUCAGCCGCCGUAGGCGCACGAGCUGGAGGCGGGGGCGGAUCACGGCCCUCAGUCGCAGCUGCAGUUGCCGCUGCAAAAUGCCGCUCCAUAAGCCCUUGGAGCUGCUCAAACCGACUCUCCUGGCGCUGUACAAUGCCUGUUAAUGCCGACACUUGCGCCCGUAACUCCCUCACUUCACUAGAUCCGGCUUCCUCGGGCACCUCAGGAGAUGGUGCCGGAACGGACCUACGCACGUAGCGUCUUGGGGACAUUGUUCCUGCAACGCAACAACCGGGUUAGUCAUCUAACCCACUUAUCUCCGUCGCAUACACUAUAUUACGCGACACAACUCCGCCAUAAGCGGACGUACACAUGUAUUAGUCCUAACUCUUAGCGUCGUGUUGUCGGCCGCCAACACAACUCCGCGACCUUGGAACUAACACCGCUCGGAUCCAUCUCUAGCCACACUAGAGGUCUACACUCGAUCCGACCUAAUCGGAUUCUUCCUCAACCGAUAUAGGUUUACGUUCCUCUCACGUACCUAUACAACCCUAGGGUUCACCGUCCUAAGGUCUCUUAGGUCCAUCCUAGACCCUCUCUUUACUUGCUCUUAAUUGCUCUGAUACCAACUUUCUUUUGUCAUGCCCCGCCCCGAAUCCACUACCAAUUUGGCACGGUUCGGGCGCGCCGGACGGACCGCCGAACGGACAGCACCUCUCCUGUCCGCCCAAGGCCAAGCAACCAGAUGAUGUACAAGAAUUUGCCCAGGAGAAUAAAUUCAAUACAUACAUGAUCGACUAAGGCACACAAGUACAAAGUAACUAAGAGCAAGAACCACAAGUGAAUGUAUAAGUGUAUAAAGAGAGAUAGUCUAACUAUUACAACCAUUCAAUAUUUACAUCAUUGAAUAUAUUACAUUUCCACCUUCCAAAAUGUAAAUAUAUGUUUUCCUCAAAAUAUAUAGGUAGCUCUCCAAUAUCUAUCCAAAACAUCAUCUAGUACACGAGGGUACUCUAAUGCAUAAAAGGAAAAGCUACUAACUAAGCUCACUUAAGGCGCUAAGCCCUUGCCGCGAUCCUCGCUCGACUCACCUCUGUGUGUACCUGUACCCCAAAACCACACGGGGUGAGAACUAUAUAAAUAUAGUUCCCAGUGGGUUCGGCCGCCGACGCCGCCGGUUCUCCCACUAGGUCUAAGCUGGCACAGAUAGAGAGAUAGAUAGAUAUACGUAGAAAAUAAACUGCAACUACUCUAUCAUGCCAUCAAUGAUAAUAAUGCAUGCAACAACUACUAUCAUGCUAGUAUCAUGUCAUGAGUAUAUAAAGGUGCAUAGUAAUGUAAACUACAACAUACACUAUGUCUACUCAAGGUAACUAGUUCAAUGCCACUCUACUAGACUAUGUCCAAGUUCGGCUCUCUAUGCCGCUAUAGGAUUCUAUGUCACAAGACCCAAUCCUCAUGCUAUCCUAGUCCACGUGUCAAGCUCACCCCGCUACA
rnacentral:lncRNA from 1 species